GUGGGGUCCUCUUCCUGGUGAGUAGA
rnacentral:piRNA from 1 species